AGAAUUGUUUUACUUGAGAUUCAAGCAAUGUUGGAUGUGCCUGUCUCAGAUCAAUUGGUAUUGUGUGUUUGGUGAUCCUGGUUUAUCCUUUGGGAUGAUUAUGUGAUAUUAUAUUUGACAUCUUAUUUUGCAGGUGAGCUAUGUAAUUGACCCAAAAGGCACUUCAAGCGGGCAGGAAAGUCUAAGGCCCUUACUAAGUACUUCCAACUGAAGUUGGUGCAUAAGGCUGCAACACCGCCUAGUGGAGGGUGUUCUGGACAAAGAAAGCUUGUACCUUAAAACAGGAGGAUACAAGAAGCUGGAGUGGUUGUCUUAAGGCUUUUGAACUGCUUGAAGCAUUAGUGUAGCUUUGGUGCUUUUUGUGACUGAUCAGCUCUGGAGCAGCUAGAGUGAUGUAGUUGUGGGCUUUUGAACAAUAGCUGGAGUGAUAUGAAACAUUAGUGAUGUAGUUGUGGGCUUUUGAACUGCUUCAAGCUGGAGUGAUGUCGCUGUGGUGCUUUUGUGACUGAUCAUCUCAGGAGCUUUUGUGAAUGAUCUAGCUAGCUAUCUGUAAAUGAUCUAGUUGUGAAUGAUAUUAUAAUUGUGAUGCUUUUGUGAAUAUAUAAUUGUGGUGCUUUUAUGUUUAUGUGAUGGAUCUAUGACUGUGGUAUACUGAUUAACUGUGUAUGUCUUUAUGAUUUGGGUAUAAAAAUCUAUGAUUUGUGAUGCUUAAUUAAAUGUAUAUUAUUAUUAAUAACAACUGUAAAAAUGGUGA